UAGUGACCGAUCGUUCCACCAUUUGGUCGUCGUUCUGCCAUUUGGUCGAUUUGCAUUUUAGGGUUUUAUAUAGAUAGAUAGGAUUUUUAUGGGUGGAAGUAAAUCAUGUUGCUUUUUAUCCAAGAACAUAAGAAAAAUCUUGUAAGAUAGUUACUUGCUUUGUCCUGCAGAUGACAAUCUUGUUCCAAUAAGGCAUGGUUACAACAAGAAUCAAAGAAUACCAGAUUUUAAAGGGCAUUUAAUCUAAUCUCCCAGCUCAAGCAGAAAUCCCUUCAAACUCAAUCUUAGAAUUAUAUAAAAUGGUUAUAUUUUUUAUCUGCAUUGCACCAGGCAAUUAUUCAAACCAGUCUGUUCACUAAGAUCAAAUAAUAAUUCUGUGAAAUAAUUCUCAACAACUGAGUCUUUGGACAAUGAAAUGCAAAUAUGCAUAAUUAUUAAGAAUUCCUUUCUCUUGAGAGACUAUUUGUUUACUACCUCUAGUACUGUAUUUGCAGACUUGCUAAGGACCAUCUCUAUGCCUCAAAUUUUUCCAGCAGUAAAAUGGAAGGUUUGGUUAAAGACAGAAAGACAAAUUCUAUACCAAAAGAUCUGGGAAAGAGAGGCUGAAUAGAUUUGAAACUAACAAACAAAAGAUAGGCAAGACACUUCUUUAGUUUUCAUCUCUUCUGGCCUUGAAUACUUUGACACCAUUCCUUUUUGAAAUUAUAUUUAUGAGAAUUCUCCCUGGCUUCUGUUAGCCACAUUGCAAUCACUCAUUUAUAAUACCCUCUUUCAGAACAGUUAAAAUUAGAAUUCUGAGAUCCUCAGGGGACUGGUGGUAUAAAAAAGCUAAGAACAGGGGAAACACAUUUUACUACUCUUGAGUUCCUGGUUAGAUGUCCUCAUUACCUUUCCAAUAAAAUUAUAAAACAACUGGAAUUUAUCCCAUUAGAACAUUAAACAACAGUACAGGUAAAGUUCUUCUCGCGUAUUAUCUACUAGUGUAGAAAUCAUGAAAGAAGGUCCGUUUUCUAUAAAAUAUUUUAAAGGUUCAAAAUGAAUGUUUUAGGUGUUUCCUCGCGUGUCUCUUUUGAAAAAUGAGUAAAUAAAAAUACUGCAUUCUGCAGGCUGAGAUUUUUUAUGCACUCAUUCUAUUUGAAAUUGAUUAAAAGAAAAAUAUAAUUUCUAUUCAUCUUAAAAGAAGCAAAGCACAGGUGAAAAAGAAAGCAUUCUAACUAUAGCUAAACUUUAUUAACCUAAUGGUAUAAAAAACAAGGCAUCUACAUUUCUAAUGGGCAAUUUUCCUCAGCAGGAAACAAUGGCUUUACAUGUUUCACCUUUAAGUGAAAUUACAGAGAAAUGGAAAGUUCAGCUAAUAUUUUCUUCCAGCAAAAUAAUAAAUGGCAUUUCAAGCAUGGUCUAGGCGAGACAAAUGCAAAUACAAUACAGCAUCAUAUUAACCCAACUACUGAGGACAGGGGAUCACAGGAUUACCAGGGUUUGCUAAAUAGGGAAGAGGAUAUUUAUAGAUAUCAGGAUUCUGCCUGAAAGGUACAAAGUAAGCUGGAGGAAAGAGAACAGAAUAAGUCUAUUCUAUGUUUCUAUCUAUAUAUGUCCAUACUUUAUUUUAAAUGUCAAAUGAAAGAAGGCAGACAUUAGAAGUUAAUUUUAUUAUGGAGCUAAGUUUUGCAGCGUAAAUCCAAGGGAAUGAAUUUUGAAGGUGUAUUUUUUGUCAAAAUAUUCAUUCAUUCAUCAUUAAAUUUUCAUAAUGUGCCCAAGUACAGUAGUGAAUAAAAAAGACACGAUCUCUAUACAGGACUUGUGUUUCUAUGCCAUUAAACAAAGGCAAUUUAAGAAACAAGAACUUUAGUUAACUGUGGAUUGUGUUAUCACCAUGCAUGUACUAGUAUACAAGUUAUAUGCACCCUGGUGGACAAAAGUGGUCUAACUCACCCAUAAAAUGUUUAAACAAACUGUUUUAUAGGCAAAUCAUGAAUAGAUGUGCUACAUUUUACCUGCCUCAAAAUCAACUUAAACUCAACUACUGGCAGAGGCAUGGCAGCACUGACCUAAAAUAAUACAAACUAGGUCAUUUAAAGAAACUGGUGUAGUGGAGGGGGGAAAGGAAGGUAAUGGUAUAUGGAAAAUAUAUGUGGCUCUGAGGAGCAGCUAACAUUUAAAUAUUCAAAGUCGUAAGGCAACUGUCACAUGCAUGCACUCCCCAUAACUAGCUUAAAUAGAAUUGACUUUAAUUUAUUUUUACCUCUUUAAUCUAACCAAAAAAUUGGUGCUGCCAAGUAAGACCUUAUUAAUUUUCAGGAAUUCCUAUAGCUUUACUAGGGAGAACUUCACCCAAAUUUUAUCUUCUUUCUCCUCAUCUCUCUACUAAAUAAACACCAUGUUUCUUGAGGAACAAAAUAUGGUCAUCUUCUCCAAAAGAUUGUGGGUUCCCACCUCAUCAGAAUACUAAUGACAAGAACAUUAUGGGUUUUAGACUUUCAUAGAUUUGUAUUCAAUUUCCCUAUCUAUGUAACUCCAGGCACUGUUAGAUCUAGAAAAUGGGGACAAUACUUAUAUCUUAAGAAAAAUGGCCGACCGGCUUGGCUCAGUGGAUAGAGUGUCAGCCUG